rnacentral:rRNA from 1 species
AUUGAACGCUGGCGGCAGGCCUAACACAUGCAAGUCGAGCGAGCGGCGGACGGGUGAGUAAUGUAUGGGGACUGCCCGAUAGAGGGGGAUAACUACUGGAAACGGUGGCUAAUACCGCAUACUAUCGGAUAACCCAUAUGGGAUUAGCUAGUAGGUGGGGUAAAGGCUAACCUAGGAGACGAUCUCUAGCUGGUCUGAGAGGAUGAUCAGCGAGAGUGUGACUGAGAACCGGCCAAGACGCGUACGGAGGCAGCAGUGGAGAAGAUUGCACAAUGGGAGGAAGCCUGAUGCAGCCCUUCCGCGUGUAUGAAGAAGGCCUUAGGGUUGUAAAGUACUUUCAGCGGGGAGGCGUUACCCGCAGAAGAAGCACCGGCUAACGCCGUGCCAGCAGCCGCGGUAAUUG